CCAGAGUAGACCCUAAACCGUCCUCAUCAAACCCUCGCGCCAUCGUACACACAUUAAGUGUUGUUCGGCGCGCCGCUCCGAGGCUUUCACACGGGCGCCGCCGGCGGGAAGUAUCACAAACUCUUAUUCUAAAGCAGUACAUCCUGAGACCUCUGAUCUAAUACAUUGUCAC
rnacentral:misc_RNA from 1 species